rnacentral:lncRNA from 7 species
AUUUUUGUUAAAUGGGGUAUUUUGGAAGGGAAAAUGCAUGAUUUUCGGGUAAAAUGGGGGGUUUUCGAAGAGGAAAUGCUUCGUUUCAGGUUAAAUUGGGGGUUUUCGAAGCCAAAAUGCGAUUUUCACUUAAAUGGGGGAUUUUCCAAACGAAAAUGCAUGAUUUUCUUUUUAGAUGGGGGAUUUUCAUAGAGAAAAGGCAUGAUUUUUGUGUUAAGUGGGGGAUUUUGCAAGAGAAAUGGGUGAUUUGGGUUAAAUGGGAUGUUGAAGAGACAAUGCAUGUUUGGGUUAAGGGGGGAUUUUUGAAGAGAAAACGCGUAAUUUUUGGUUAAACACUAUUUUGAAGAAAUAUGCGUGAUUUUCAGUUUAAAUCAGGAUUCU